UAAGCAAACAUUGAUUGAUUGAUUGAUUGAUUCCUUUCUGACAUGUUGCUUUUGUUUAGGCUGGCAGAGGUUCUGUACCCUCCGAUUCCUCGCCCUCCGUUGAAGUACAAACAUUUCCUGGAAGACAGCAACAUAAUCAAAUAAAGUUCUAUCACCCAGCUUUGUCGGGGAAGUGCGAGGAGAAGAUCACAGUCGUGGAGGAAAGCGAGCAAAGGACAUUUUAACACAUCAGUCGUACAAUUAUAUUGAAAUGUGACCCAAUUCUGUCUGCAACUCUGAAAAUGUAAAAUGUUAAUAUUUGCUGACGUGUUCACUGCAAUAAGGCACUUUUGGUAGCUUCUGCUUGAAUUUUUGACCACUCCUCUUGACAAAAUAGGUGUGGUUCAGCUAAAUGUGUUGCUUUUCCAACAUGGACUUGUUUCUUCAGCAUUGUCCACACAUUUAAGUCAAAACUAUGUGAAGGCCGUUCUAAAACCUUCAUUCUAGCCAUUAAUAUAGCCAUUCCUUUACCACUUUUGACCUGUGUUUAGGGUCAUUGCCCAAGCCCCAAAAUCCGAGUUGAUGAUUUUAGGUUGUCCGGAAAAUUUGGGGGUAAUCCUCCUUUUUACUCUCUGUAAAGCACCAGUUCCAUUGGCAGCGAAACAGGCCCAGAGCAUAAAACUACCACCACUAUGCUUGGCAGUAGGGAUUGUGUUCCUGGAAUUAAAGGCCUUCGGCUGCCGCCCAGCUCACAUUGCACCCGACCUCUAUGGCCCCUGCUAUGGGUGGUGAGCCCAUUGGAGGGGGGACCCACGUUGCCUCUUCGGGCUGGGAACAGGUCCGGCCACCAGGCGCUCGCCAUCGUCCGGGCCUGGCUCCAGAGGGGGGCCCCGGUGACCCGCGUCCGGGCGAGGGAAAUCUGGGUCCAUGUUUUAUCUUCUUCAUAGAGGUCUUCGAGCUGCUCUUUGUCUGAUCCCUCACCUAGAACCUGUUUGCCUUGGGAGACCCUACCAGGGGGCAUAAAGCCCCCGGACAACAUAGCUCCUAGGAUCAUUGGGACACGCAAACUCCUCUACCACGAUAAGGUGGCAGCUCAGAGAGGAGUAGAAUCAGCACCUCCAAGUCCGAGUCCAUGGUUCUCGCCCGGAAAAGGGUGGAGUGCCAUCUCCGGGUUGGGGAGGAGACCCUGCCCCAAGUGGAGGAGUUCAAGUAUCUAGGAGUCUUGUUCACGAGUGAGGGAAGAGUGGAUGGUGAGAUCGACAGGCGGAUCGGUGCGGCGUCUUCAGUAAUGCGGACGUUGUACCGAUCCAUUGUGGUGAAGAAGGAGCUGAGCCGGAAGGCAAAGCUCUCAAUUUACCGGUCGAUCUACGUUCCCGUCCUCACCUAUGGUCAUGAGCUUUGGGUCAUGACCGAAAGGAUAAGAUCACGGGUACAAGCGGCCAAAAUGAGUUUCCUCUCCCUUAGAGAUAGGGUGAGAAGCUCUGCCAUCCGGGAGGAACUCAAAGUAAAGCCGCUGCUCCUUCACAUCAAGAGGAGCCAGAUGAGGUGGUUCGGGCAUCUGGUCAGGAUGCCACCCGAAGACUAUGUCUCCCGGCUGGCCUGGGAACGCCUCGGGAUCCCCCGGGAAGAGCUAGACGAAGUGGCUGGGGAGAGGGAAGUCUGGGUUUCCCUGCUUAGGCUGCUGCCCCCGCGACCCGACAUCGGAUAAGCGGAAGAAGAUGGAUGGAUGGAUGGAUGGAAUUAAAGGCCUCACCUUUUCUCCUCCAAAUAUAUUGCUGGGAAUUCUCAAUUUUUGACAUCACAUGGACAAAGAAAAGACCUUCUGGAAGAAAGUUCUGUGGUCAGAUGAAACAAAAAUGAAGAUGUUUGAAUAAAAUAGAAGAAUCGA